AGAGCGAACGCUGGCGGCAGGCCUAAUACAUGCAAGUCGAACGCACCUUCGGGUGAGUGGCGGACGGGUGAGUAACACGUGGGCAACCUGCCCCUCACACUGGGAUAACCUCGGGAAACCGGGGCUAAUACCGGAUAUGACCUCGAGCGGCAUCUCUUGAGGUGGAAAGCUCCGACGGUGAGGGAUGGGCCCGCGGCCUAUCAGCUUGUUGGUGGGGUAAUGGCCUACCAAGGCGACGACGGGUAGCCGGCCUGAGAGGGCGACCGGCCACACUGGGACUGAGACACGGCCCAGACUCCUACGGGAGGCAGCAGUGGGGAAUAUUGCGCAAUGGGCGAAAGCCUGACGCAGCGACGCCGCGUGAGGGAUGAAGGCCUUCGGGUUGUAAACCUCUUUCAGCAGGGACGAAGCGAAAGUGACGGUACCUGCAGAAGAAGCACCGGCUAACUACGUGCCAGCAGCCGC
rnacentral:rRNA from 1 species